rnacentral:rRNA from 1 species
UACGUAGGGGGCAAGCGUUGUCCAGAUUUAUUGGGCGUAAAGAGCGUGUAGGCGGCCAGGUAGGUCUGCUGUGAAAACUCGAGGCUCAACCUCGAGACGUCGGCGGAAACCAUCUGGCUAGAGUCCGGAAGAGGAGAGUGGAAUUCCUGGUGUAGCGGUGAAAUGCGCAGAUAUCAGGAAGAACACCUAUGGCGAAGGCAGCUCUCUGGGACGGUACUGACGCUGAGACGCGAAAGCGUGGGGAGCGAACAGG